rnacentral:rRNA from 1 species
GAUGAACGCUGGCGGCGUGCCUAAUACAUGCAAGUCGAGCGAACGGACGAGAAGCUCGCUUCUCUGAUGUUAGCGGCGGACGGGUGAGUAACACGUGGAUAACCUACCUAUAAGACUGGGAUAACUUCGGGAAACCGUAGCUAAUACCGGAUAAUAUUUUGAACCGCAUGGUUCAAAAGUGAAAGACGGUCUUGCUGUCACUUAUAGAUGGAUCCGCGCUGCAUUAGCUAGUUGGUAAGGUAACGGCUUACCAAGGCAACGAUGCAUAGCCGACCUGAGAGGGGGAUAGGCCACACGGGAACUGAGACACGGUCCAGACGACUACGGGAGGCAGCAGUAGGGAAUCUUACGCAAUGGGCGAAAGCCUGACGGAGCAACGCCGCGUGAGUGAUGAAGGUCUUCGGAUCGUAAAACUCUGUUAUUAGGGAAGAACAGAUGUGUAAGUAACUGUGCACAUCUUGACGGUACCUAAUCAGAAAGCCACGGCUAACUACGUG